CCUCCGUCGCUCCCCUAUCAUUCUCGCAUACUUUCUCUCUCCUUCUCUCAAACCCUCAAAUCUUCGAUCACUCAAAUCUCCAUCUCCUUCGAUCUUCCUCAAAUCUUCAUCUCCUUCGAUCUCCCACAAAUCUCCGAUCUCCUUCCCUCACAAAGGUAUUCAGUCGCCUCCAUCCUCAACCGCCGUCGCCACCGUUAUUUUCCCAAAUUGUCGUCAUCAGAGGGUGGGUUCCUCUCCCUUUCUCUCUCGCCUCCAUCGUGCGCUUCCGAUCUCUGCGGAUCACCGCCGUCGCCACCAUUAUUUUCGAAGGUUCUUGAAAGUAUAGUUCCUGAGUUCCGACGAGGAUGGUUGUGAGUUUAGUCCGUUUGAUAUUACCACUACUAAGAAUGCUCCUAUUGAACGCCUCAAACGCUGGAGGUGAGAACGGGAUUGGAAGGUCCUGGACUGACUGCUGCUCAAAAUAUGUGGUACUGCAUUGCUGCAGUAGGGGGUCAGUAUAUUUGGACGCGGUUGCAGUCUUUUUCUGCUUUUCGUAGAUGGGGAGACUCUGAGCAGAGGACAUUUGGACAACGGGCAUGGCUUUUAUUGCAGCAUGUAGAAGGAUUCUAUAAGGCUGCAUCAUUUAGCAACCUGCUUUUAUU